UUUUAUUUGCAGCAGGCUUUUUUUUUUUGCAUUGGUAACUUCUUUUUCUAAGCGACAACGAAAGUUACCAAUGCAAAAAAAAGAAACCAAAGCCUGCUGCAAAUAAA